AGGGUUCGAUUAUGGCUCAGGAUAAACGCCGGCGGCGUGCCUAAUACAUGCAAGUCGAUCGGAAGCGGAGCAAUCCGCUUUAGAGGCGAACGGGUGAGUAAGACAUAAGCAACCUGGCCACAAAGACGGGGAUAACACUUGGAAACGAGCGCUAAUACCGGAUAAGUAGCAGCGGGGCAUCCCGCUGAUAUAAAAGGGAGAGAAACGCGAGUGGAUGGGCUUAUGGUGCAUUAGUUAGUUGGCGGGAUAAGAGCCCACCAAGACGAUGAUGCAUAGCCGGACUGAGAGGUUGACCGGCCACAUUGGGACUGAGACACGGCCCAG
rnacentral:rRNA from 1 species